AAUAGAUACCCCGGUAGUCCACCCCGUAGACGUUGGGAACUAGUUGUGGGGUCCUUUCCACGGAUUCCGUGACGCAGCUAACGCAUUAAGUUCCCCGCCUGGGGAGUACGGCCGCAAGGCUAAAACUCAAAGGAAUUGACGGGGACCCGCACAAGCGGCGGAGCAUGCGGAUUAAUUCGAUGCAACGCGAAGAACCUUACCAAGGCUUGACAUACACCAGAACACCCUAGAAAUAGGGGACUCUUUGGACACUGGUGAACAGGUGGUGCAUGGUUGUCGUCAGCUCGUGUCGUGAGAUGUUGGGUUAAGUCCCGCAACGAGCGCAACCCUCGUUCUAUGUUGCCAGCACGUAAUGGUGGGAACUCAUGGGAUACUGCCGGGGUCAACUCGGAGGAAGGUGGGGAUGACGUCAAAUCAUCAUGCCCCUUAUGUCUUGGGCUUCACGCAUGCUACAAUGGCCGGUACAAAGGGCUGCGAAUACCGUGAGGUGGAGCGAAUCCCAAAAAGCCGGUCCCAGUUCGGAUUGAGGUCUGCAACUCGA
rnacentral:rRNA from 1 species